CCCUUAGAUGUUCUGGGCCGCACGCGCGCUACACUGAUGCAUUCAACGAGCCUAUCCUUGACCGACAGGUCCGGGUAAUCUUUGAAUCUGCAUCGUGACGGGGAUAGAUUAUUGCAAUUAUUAAUCUUCAACGAGGAAUGCCUAGUAGGCGCAAGUCAUCAGCUUGCGUCGAUUACGUCCCUGCCCUUUGUACACACCGCCCGUCGCUCCUACCGAUUGGGUGUGCUGGUGAAAUGUUCGGAUCGGCCGUUUGUCGCGGUUUCCGCGGCUCGUGGCUGAGAAGUUCAUUAAACCCUCCCACCUAGAGGGAGGAGAAGUCGUAACA
rnacentral:rRNA from 1 species